rnacentral:rRNA from 1 species
UACGGAAGGCAGCAGUGGGGAAUAUUGCACAAUGGGCGCAAGCCUGAUGCAGCCAUGCCGCGUGUAUGAAGAAGGCCUUCGGGUUGUAAAGUACUUUCAGUCGUGAGGAAGGUGUUAAGGUUAAUAACCUUAGCAAUUGACGUUAGCGACAGAAGAAGCACCGGCUAACUCCGUGCCAGCAGCCGCGGUAAUACGGAGGGUGCGAGCGUUAAUCGGAAUUACUGGGCGUAAAGGGCACGCAGGCGGUUAAUUAAGUUGGAUGUGAAAUCCCCGGGCUUAACCUGGGAAUGGCAUUCAAGACUGGUUAGCUAGAGUCUUGUAGAGAGGGGUUAGAAUUCCAUGUGUAGCGGUGAAAUGCGUAGAGAUGUGGAGGAAUACCGGGUGGCGAAGGCGGCCCCUGGGACAAAGACUGACGCUCAUGUGCGAAAGCGUGGGGAGCAAACAGGGAUUAGAUACC